GGGAGGCUGCGUGCUAAUGGGUGGGGCUGUGGGGCGGGGAAGUCGCUGAGGGCUUUGGAGUCUCCGGCGCCUAGUCCACUGUCCUCGGCGUUGGGACUCCUCAGCCCGCGGAGCUUGCGACGCAGGACCGGGGAGAGAUAGGCGGGACGGGCGCUCCCUCUCCCAACCCCGUCGCCCCCACGGAGCUGUCGCGAAGCCCGCCCGCUUGUGGCUUGUUGACCACGCCACUCUCCUAAAAAUGCUCUUCCUCAGCUGUGCUACCUUUGCCCUGACCCGAGGAGCGGCGGGGGAGGAAGGCGGAGAAAGGAGGGUGGUUACCCGAGUCCCUUAAAAAUGGAGCAAAACGGGAGAAAAUCGAAAGAGACAGGAAGUUAAAAGCUGUUGAAAACUGGUUUGUUUGCAGUGUGAAUUAAGUUUAACUAUUCUGCCCCUUUGAGACCAGAGACGGUGGACAGAUAGUCCUCUUCCUCUCUCCUUGUCCCCUUCACUCCGCCCAGGAAUUUAGAGGUAAAUGUGAUUUAAAGUGCUAGACAGAUGCAAGCACGCCUGGGGAAGAGUUAGAGAUGGUGGAAGAAAGUGACAACGUCUGGUAAAGCACACUCCUAAACUUGUGACACAAAUUGUCACCGGGAAAGACACGUCCUGAACCUUCUCCCCAGUCACUCCACCAAGUGGUCUGCCCAGGCGGAUGCAGAUAGAACAGCCGCACGCACUUGAGCAUGUGGCUGCGCUCUUUCCCCUGUAGUCCGCAACCGGUGAUUUCCAGCAGUUCUGUUCUUGUAACUCACCAGCCCACGGAGCAAACUCAAGUUUUUUGAAAACUGAUUUGUAGAGCUAGUCAUGUCAGCAGCAGAUGGAUGUUUUCAGAGACAUAAUCUGUGACUGAUUAUGUUUACAACUUUUCCGCCUUGAUCUAAACUCUAGAAAGUGGCCUCUACUGUAGCAUAGCAGUUAGGUGCAAUUGUUAGGAUCCUUGUCACUAAAGACAGCAAGGAAAAGCUAUCACGUUCCAUCUAGAAGUUCAAUCUGUAGUGAUAAACAUAAUGUGUUACUCUGUGCUAGCACUGCUGUAAGUAUCUUGCAUGUAUUUAUUAACUCAUUUAUAGGUUUUUACAAAAACUGAUUUAAAGGUUUUUGUAGAAAUACUGGCGUCUGUGUACAAAGAGUGUAAAUGUUUAUUUCAGCCUUGUCUAUAAUAGGAAAAAAUAAGUCCAAACCACCUAAGUGUCUAUCAAUACAGGAUGAUUAAGCUUAAGAUACCAAAAUACUAUAGUUAAUUAUGUUAUUGUUUGAAAGAUUGAAUAUGAUAGAAUAUAUUGAAUUAUUAAUAAUAAAAUAUAUUGGUACACUUCCAGGUACUAUGGCUGCAUUGCGAAUUAUGCCCACAAGGUAGUGGUAAAAAACAACCAUUUAUUAUGCUGACAGAUUCUGUGCGUCAGGAAUUGAGAUAGCACAGCAGGUAUGACUUUUUUUCUGCUCCCUUAUGCAUAGGGCCUCAACUGGAAGGCUGAAGAUGGGAAUCCUCUGAAAAGUUUUCACUUUCAUGUUGGUGAUUGAUACUGGCUGGAGGCUGCAGGCUGGAGACCUCAGCUCAACUCCCUGUAGACCUCUGCAGGUGGUCUCUUAAUGUGGACUUGGUUGGGCUCCUCACAGCAUGAGGGUUAGGUUCUAAGGGUGAGUAUCCUAAGAGAGCGAGAGCCAGGUGGAAGCAUAUUAUGGUUUAUCUGCCUUAGAAGUCAUGCAGUGUCAAUUCUGCUGCGUUCUCUUUACCCAGGCCCUUAUAAAGCCUCAUCCAGGUUCAGAGGCAGGGGAGAUAGAUUCUACUUCUGGAUAGGGAGAAGCAAAGUUUGUAGAGAACAUGUGGGACCAGAAAUACUGCUGUGGCCAUUUUUAGAAAAUACACAUUGUCUUAAGUGCUUAAGACCUUCUAAACACCCUAAGGAGGUAAAAGAAACUAAUAAGUACAAUGGAUCCCAUUGAUGGUUUUUAAAAAGUACAAAAUAAAACCAUAUUUUCAAAUGUACAUGCAUUGUUUAACAAUACAUAUUUUUCAAAUGACAUAGUUUCUAAGUUUAACCUGGGGGGCCAGCCAAAGAAACAAUGAUCUGUUCAAGUAGUGCAGGGGAAAAAAUGGCCAAAGUGUCUCCACACAAUUCCCCAAGACAUGUUUAAUUUUUACCUAGCAAAAUGCUUCUCCGUAUCUGUGGAAUAACCCUGUCCUAAGAAAGAUACGACUCCACUGUAAUGAAUGAGCGGCACCAAGUCUUACUGUUCUUUCCAUAUUGUCAUGUGGCACUGAGCUUUCCCACACCCAGGGGCUCACUUAAUGUUGUCCCACAGUUAUUUUCAGAGAGAUGAGAAUUAUAAAGACCUACUUGAGGUCAGUGACUGAGUCUUCUUCACUUAGUGUUCACAUAUUUAAUAUAUAAAAGGGGACCUAUUGGGUUUUCUUUUCUUUUUUUUUUCUUUUAACUACAUUAUGCUAUUCUCUCAGCAGUGCAGGAUGUUUACAAUUACAAAGUAAAUUCUGGCCUCCUUCCUAGUGAAUAAGCUAAUAGGAUCUCUGACAUCUAAGCUCCAGUGACUUGUUUUACAUCCCAGUAUUAAGAUCCCAAUGAUGAUCCAUCGACAUCAGAAGACUUCCCUAAGAAAUCUGUCCUUAUAUUUGUAAAGCAUUUUCAAACUCAUGUUUGUGAGUAAUAUGCUGAUAUGGUGAUAGCAUUAUUUUAGGUAUAGAAAUAGGAUUAAUUCACUUCAGCGCUUUGGGCAUGUUUGCCUAUUUUGAGGCAUUGAAAAGGCAACUAUCUCCGUGAGCAAUGACUUCAUGGGAAGGAGGAAGAAAUGGUCUUGGAGCAGGGAAGUGUAACAAGGGACAGUCUUUUAUCUGGAUAAUUAGUAUUUUCAUUGCUUGGCAAUAUCUUAUGAUACAAUAGUCACUUAGUUACUAUUGUCUUUGUUCUCUUUUGAAUAAUGAAAGGACACACCUUAAGUUUUUUUUUUUUUUAGAAGAAAAAACUCCUCAUUAAAUCAACUAAAAUAACCAACAUCAAUUUUGAAACAAUAUCCUCAAGCAGCUUCCUUAAGUUAGCUUGAAAGGAGAAAAGUUCCUUCCUAAUUCUAACAACUAGACAUUUUUCUCUUAUUGGCCAGUUUUCAUAAAGGUAACGGGGAAUGAAGAUGUUAAUAACAGAGAGAUGUUUUAAGUUAUCUUGACUCAGCAGGAUGUCAUGUUAUGUGCCAUAGGCGCAUAUACUGAAUAAUUUAAAUAUUUGUAUAGUUUUAUGUGCCAUGUGGCUCUUAAUCCUACUAAUCCUAUCUAUUAUACAUAAAGCCUUGAAUAUGAGUGUUCUUUGUUUUAUCCUAGAUGAAAGAAAGGGGAUACAUCGAAUUUGAGGUCUAUAGAAUUUAAUCAAAGGAUGAAUAUAAGGAUGCUGUUUUACCACCUGCAAUCCUGGAACACUACGAGAUUCCCAGAGAGAGAGAGAGAGCACAAGCUGGGGAGAGGCAGAAAGAGAAGGUGAGAGAGACAAAGAGAGCUUGACAUGAGGCUCGAACUCAUGAACCAUGAGAUCAUGACCUGAGCUGAAAUCAAGAGUCAGAUCUUAACCAACUGAGCUAGCCAGGCACCCCAGUUAUGACCAUUUUUCAAGUGGGGAGCCCAAUGCAGAGCUUGAACUCACAACCUUGAGAUCAAGAGUCGGAAGCUUAACUGACUGAGCCACCCAGAACUCAGAAGUUAUUGCCCAUGUUGUGCCCGGCAUGUAUCUAUGAAGAUUUGCAUGUUUCUUUUUCUACAUGGAUCUUCCCUGCCAAAGAGAAAUCCUUUUUCAAGAAGCUAAUCCCAUUUAUAUCUGUGGGAAUGGUAGUAAAACCGUAAAGUACCUACACUGGAGAUGUCAUAAAUGAUACUAGCUGCUGUUUCCAAGGAAUCCAAGCUCAAACCACAAGGUUGGUACACAAUCAAAUCCCCAUACAUGGGUCCCUUUGUUCAAAACUCCGAACUCCAAGCUUCACUGUGAAAUAUAUCUAAAGUAAACUGAGGCAGCAUGAAGUUAUAUGUGCUAUUGCUGUCCUUAUUACACUGAGGCCAGUGGUGUUUGAUAUGUUUUGGGGUGAAAAGGAACAGGAACUGUACUCUUAAGAUUUUAUCUAUAAUCUGUCUAGCUCACUUUUUUUUUAAAUGCUUAUUUAUUUUUGAAGUAGAGAGAGAGGGAGAGACAGAACUUGAAGUAGGCUCCAGGCUCUGAGCUGUCAGCACAGAGCCUACCACAGGGCUCGAACCCACAAAUCAUGAGAUCAUGACCUGAGCUGAAGUCAGACGCUUAACUGAUGGAGCCACUCAGGCAUCCCUGUCUAGCUCACUUCAAAAAUUUUUUAAAGUGACAUAAAAUUAACAUACCAUAAAACUCUCCCUUUAACAUAUAAUAUUUAACACACAGUUUGGUAGAUUUUCGUAUAUUCAGAGUUGUGCAACCACUACCACUGUCUAGUUCUGAAACAUUUUAAUUCUUGCAAAAGGAAAUCCCCUACCCAUUGGCUGUCACUGUCCCUCUCCUCUGAGUCCCUGGCAACCACUAAUCUGUUUUCUGUCUCUAUAGAUCUGCCUAUUCUGGACAUCUCACAUAAACAGAAUCAUAGAAUACGUGGUCUGUGGUGUCUGGCUUAUUUCACUUCGGAAAAUGUUUUCAAGGUUCAUCCGUGUUGCUGGAGGUAUUAGUACUUCAUUCCUUUUUGUAGUUAAAUUUCAUUGUAUAGAUAUAUCAUAUUUUGUUUAUGCAUUCAUCCAUUGAUGGACAUUUGGAUUGUCUCCAUCUCUUGGCUCUUGUAAAUAGUGCUGCUGUGAAUAUUCAUGUACAAGCAUUUAUUUGAGUGCUUGUAUAUACCUACAAGUGGUAUGGUAAUUCUAUGUUUAACAUUUUUUUUUUAGUUUAUUUAUUUAUUUUUGAGAGAGAGAGACAGAGAGAGUGAGUGGGAGAGGGGCAGAGAGAGAGGGAGAGAGAGAAUCCCAAAGAAGGCUCUGCACUGUCAGCAUGGAGCCUGACGUGGGGUGCAAACUCACAAACCACGAGAUCAUGACCUGUGCCGAAACCAAGAGUUGGGCACUCAACCAACUGAGCCACCCAGGCACCCCUCUAUAUUUAACUAUUUGAGGAACCUAGUAGACUGUUUCCCACGGGAACUACACCAUUUUCCAUUCAUACUAGCAAUGUAUGAAGAUUUUAAGUUCUCCACAUUCUUGCCAAUACUUGUUAAUUGUCUGUCUUUUUGGAUACUGCUAUCCUAAUGGGUAAGAAUAAGUCAUAUGUUUUUGUUGUUUUGAUUUUCAUUUCCCUGAUGACUAAUGAUGUUGACAAUCUGUUCAUGUAUUUGUUGGCCAUUUGUAUAUCUUUUUAGAGAAAUAUUUAUCCACAUCCUUUGCCAUUUUUUUUUAACUUGGGUUGUCUUUUUUAUUGUUCUGAUUUCUUUUUACGAGUUUGUCAAGAGACAGUUAUACAGACAUACCCACCAUCAAUAUCUAAGAAUAAAGGGAAACUAUCAGAUUUCAAUAGGGAAAAAAUCGAAAUUUUCAUUGCUUCCAUCAUAGAAAGAGAUAUGCUUACUAAAUUUCCUUUUUAAACAUGUAGUAAAAGGAUCAAAGUAUUAAUAUUUUUCUGUGGGUUAAAAAUAUUCGGAUAGUACAAUUGUAUUUGUAAUAUGUGAAUUAACAAUAUCUACCUUACAGGGUUGUUGUAAGAAUUAAAUACAUAUUUAGUUCACCCUUAUAUCCCUAGGGCUUAGUACAGUGCAUGGUAUAUAGUCGAACCUCAAUAAAUAUUUGCUGAAUCAAUUCAUGAAGUAUCCAAUGGAGUCCCACAAACAUAUCAAUAUGUGUGAGUUCCCUCCCCAUCCUCUUCAGGAGACUUGAAGGAGGGAAGAAUAACCAUACUUGCAGAACUAGAACCCUCUGAACUGUGUGGUUUAUGGUACAUUAUGAAAUACUAUAAGAUUUAUGGAGCCAAAUGGUUUACAGGAUGUGAAUGCUGGAACUCUACCUGUCUUCAGUGAAAAAUGGGAGUUGAAUAUGUUAGAAAGUGCUUGGUUUUGGAAAGGUGAAAAGACCCCCAUAGUGUUCCUAACUUCGUGAUACUGAGUCGCUUGUCUGUGUAUUUUCUGAUUUGAUAUUCAGUAUGUCAGUAAAUUAGACCCCCAGCGGGGAGGCAGCCACCAUCACAGUGCCAUAAAUGGAGAGUGGAAAAGCUAGCAUGUCAGGCCACUCAAGACACUAAGGUGGCUUGCAGGCAAGGAUGUUGUUUGACUUUUGGAAAUGGUUGCAAAGCCACUAUCACAACUGAUAUUUGACUAUUGAAAUUUCAAUUGAUAAUUAAAAUGUUAGAUAAUCUCUGUCUCACAACCCCACUCAUACAACUGGUUUUAUCUUCCAGCUAUAUUAAGAGAAUAUGCAUAAAUCAGGAAAAUUCAUUACUCACCUUCUAAUAUUAUUGUCAACGUGCACAGUCCAACAUUACCAAAAGAAAUCCUGCUUACACACUUUAUAAGCAGUAUUUGAUAUUCGACCUGAGAAAAAAGCUACUUGUUGCAAAUUGAAAUUUUCAUUCUCUGCGAUAUAAAAUUGCCUGUUAGGGGCAAGACAGUUUGUAAUACAUGGAAAGUAGAAAUGACUUACUCAUACAGUUUAAAUUAAUGCUACAUGAAUAACUGAAGGCAUAGAGUAAAAAGCACUAGUUAUUUUAUACUUAAAAUUAAUUCAAAAAAUACUCUGAUAUAUUAACAAAUUGAAUUUGCACUUUUUAAAAGAAGAUCUUAUGGUUUGAAAAGACUUAACAUUGUUAAACACUUGAAUAAUAAUCUUUGGAACAAAAGGAAAUUUAUCUCUUAAAAUUUUUAGACACAGAGAAAACAUUGUGAAUCUACAAAUCUCUUUUAGUUCCAAACAUAAACUGUAGUUAACUUUUUUUAAUGUUUAUUUUUGAGAGAGAGACAGAGAGAGUGUGUGAGUGGAGAAGGGGCAGAGAGAGCGGGAGACAGAAUCUGAAUCAGGCUCCAGAAUCUGAGCGCUCAGCAAAGGCCCGAUGCGGGGCUCGAACUCAUGAACCGUGAGAUUGUGACCUGAUCUGAAAUCAAAGUCAGAUGCUUAACCAACUGAGCCACCCAGUCUCCCCUAUAUUUAAUUUCUUUUCUUGAAGAUACACCAAGCAGAACUGAAAGACCAAGAUAUUCUGGUAGUUUGGAUGAGCUCCCUAAGGAAUAUAUCUUCUAGCAAUGACCUGAGGCUUAAUAUCUGCUAAUCCUAAUGCUACUGGAAGAUACUUCUUACCUUCCUGGGUCUGGAGAGCAGAAUUUCCUUUCAACUUCUGGUAUUUUUUUAGCAGUUGCUGCCUGUGGUUGAAUCACCCAAUGAUGCACUUUUAGCCAGCUGUGUGUCUUCAUUGCGGUUUGUCUGUCUUAAAGGACAUUCAAAGAAAAGGAAUGGCUCGUUAUAUAUUGGUGAUCUUUUUUUCUCAUGACCGAGAGAUCAAGAGUCACAUGCUCUAUCUACUGAGCCAGCCGGGUACCCCUUAUUGGUGAUCUUGUUAGCUGAGAUUUCAGGUAGACUUAGAGCUAAUGGAAAAGGAUGUGCAUUGUAGAGUAGAAAUAGCAGAUGUUGUAAUGUUGAAACCACUAGAAAUAACAUUGAAAAUAAUUUUUAUGAGAACAGUUAGGUAAAUGGUUGUUUUAGCUAGUGCUCAAAUUCUUGAAAAUUGAAGCUACGGAGGAUAAUUACGUGGCUUUGCAAGCACUCUGUUACUCUGAAAUAGCAGAGGGUUUUGUCUGAUAGGCUGUAGGUGCGGAGAGAUGGUGGAUGAUAGCCAUGGAAUGUCAUCCCUGGAACAACAGGGGGCUGUGAGGGGCAGCCGGGUGGCCUGCAUAGGCAGGCAGAAGCUGGCCAUUGUUCAAACAUGACCUGUCACAACUACAGCUCUCAGUAGAGCUCAUUCUAAAUUUGGGUUUUGUAGGGCGCCUGGGUGGCUUAGUCGGUUAAGCAUCCGACUGCGGCUGAGGUCACGAUCUUACAACUCGUGAGUUCGAGCACUGUGUCAGGCUCUGUGUGGACAGCUCAAAGCCUGGAGUCUGCUUUGGAUUCUGUGUCUCCCUCUCUCUCUGUCAUUCCCCACUCGCACUCUGUCUCUCUCUCAAAAAUAAACAAACAUUAAAAAAUAAAUAAAUCAAAUAAAUUGGAUUUUGUUUCUUGGUUAUGUUUUUCACUUGGGAAGUUCAAAACAAGAUCAGCCAAGGAAUUUAUAGAAUCAACAUGUUUUGAAUACUAUGUGGAAUGAAUAGAGUCCUCAGGAUUCAGGCAUUUAAAUCAACUCAUCUGCUUUAUUCCUCAAGCUCUUUAUGAUGAUGAUGAUAAUUAUUAUUAUUAUUAUUAUUAUUUUUAAAGUUUAUUUUAUUGGGACAUCUAGGUGACUCAGUUGGUUGAGUGCCCGACUUUUGGUUUCGGAUUGUCAUGAUCUCACGGUUCGUGGGUUUGAGCCCCACUUUGGGCUUUGCACUGAUGGUACAGAGCCUACUUGGUAUCCUCUCUCUGUCCCUCUCUCUCUGCUCCUUCCCUGCUCAUGCUAGCUGUUUAAAUAAACUUUAAGUUGUUUA